rnacentral:rRNA from 1 species
GACGAACGCUGGCGGCGUGCCUAAUACAUGCAAGUCGAGCGAAUCGAUGGGAGCUUGCUCCCUGAGAUUAGCGGCGGACGGGUGAGUAACACGUGGGUAACCUGCCUGUAAGACUGGGAUAACUUCGGGAAACCGGAGCUAAUACCGGAUACUUUCUUUUCUCGCAUGAGGGAAGAUGGAAAGAUGGUUCUGCUAUCAGUUACAGAUGGACCCAGGGCGCAUUAUCUAGUUGGUGAGGUAACGGCUCACCAAGGCAACGAUGCGUAGCCGAACUGGGAGGGUGAUCGGCCACACUGGGACUGAGACACGGCCCAGACUCCUACGGGAGGCAGCAGUAGGGAAUCUUCCGCAAUGGACGAAAGUCUGACGGAGCAACGCCGCGUGAGCGAAGAAGGCCUUCGGGUCGUAAAGCUCUGUUGUUAGGGAAGAACAAGUACGAGAGUAACUGCUCGUACCUUGACGGUACCUAACCAGAAAGCCACGGCUAACUACGUGCCAGCCGCCGCCGUAAGAC